UGGUCUGUGGCCUAUUUGUUUAAAGCGCCGGACUAGUGAUACGAAGUAUUGGGUUCGAAUCCCAGCAAAACAA
rnacentral:tRNA from 1 species